UACGUAGGGGGCAAGCGUUGUCCGGAUUUAUUGGGCGUAAAGAGCUCGUAGGCGGUUUGUCGCGUCGAAUGUGAAAACCCGGGGCUCAACUCCGGGCCUGCAUUCGAUACGGGCAGACUAGAGUUCGGUAGGGGAGACUGGAAUUCCUGGUGUAGCGGUGAAAUGCGCAGAUAUCAGGAGGAACACCGGUGGCGAAGGCAGGUCUCUGGGCUGACACUGACGCUCAUGCACGAAAGCGUGGGGAGCAAACAGG
rnacentral:rRNA from 1 species